UUUGGGCCACCUCCCAUCCGUGUCUAUUGUACCCUGUUGCUUCGGCGGGCCCGCCGCUUGUCGGCCGCCGGGGGGGCGCCUCUGCCCCCCGGGCCCGUGCCCGCCGGAGACCCCAACACGAACACUGUCUGAAAGCGUGCAGUCUGAGUUGAUUGAAUGCAAUCAGUUAAAACUUUCAACAAUGGAUCUCUUGGUUCCGGCAUCGAUGAAGAACGCAGCGAAAUGCGAUAACUAAUGUGAAUUGCAGAAUUCAGUGAAUCAUCGAGUCUUUGAACGCACAUUGCGCCCCCUGGUAUUCCGGGGGGCAUGCCUGUCCGAGCGUCAUUGCUGCCCUCAAGCCCGGCUUGUGUGUUGGGUCGCCGUCCCCCUCUCCGGGGGGACGGGCCCGAAAGGCAGCGGCGGCACCGCGUCCGAUCCUCGAGCGUAUGGGGCUUUGUCACAUGCUCUGUAGGAUUGGCCGGCGCCUGCCGACGUUUUCCAACCAUUCUUUCCAGGUUGACCUCGGAUCAGGUAGGGAUACCCGCUGAACUUAAGCAUAUCAAUAAGCGGAG
rnacentral:rRNA from 1 species